GACGAACGCUGGCGGCGUGCCUAAUACAUGCAAGUAGAACGCUGAAGGAGGAGCUUGCUUCUCUGGAUGAGUUGCGAACGGGUGAGUAACGCGUAGGUAACCUGCCUGGUAGCGGGGGAUAACUAUUGGAAACGAUAGCUAAUACCGCAUAACAGUAGAUAUCGCAUGAUAUCUACUUGAAAGGUGCAAUUGCAUCACUACCAGAUGGACCUGCGUUGUAUUAGCUAGUUGGUGAGGUAACGGCUCACCAAGGCGACGAUACAUAGCCGACCUGAGAGGGUGAUCGGCCACACUGGGACUGAGACACGGCCCAGACUCCUACGGGAGGCAGCAGUAGGGAAUCUUCGGAAAUGGACGGAAGUCUGACCGAGCAACGCCGCGUGAGUGAAGAAGGUUGUCGGAUCGUAAAGCUCUGUUGUAAGAGAAGAACGAGUGUGAGAGUGGAAAGUUCACACUGUGACGGUAUCUUACCAGAAAGGGACGGCUAACUACGUG
rnacentral:rRNA from 1 species